rnacentral:rRNA from 1 species
AGAAUCAACGCUGGCGGCGUGCCUAACACAUGCAAGUCGCACGAGAAAGGGUAGCAAUACCUGAGUACAGUGGCGCACGGGUGAGUAACACGUGAAUUAUCUACCUCCGAGUGGGGAAUAAACUGAGAGAAAUCUUAGCUAAUACCGCAUAACACUUACGAGUCAAAGCAGCAAUGCGCUUGGAGAGGAGUUCGCGGCAGGAUUAGUUAGUUGGCGGGGUAAUGGCCACCAAGACGAUGGAUCUGUAUCC